CAGCCGCCACGGUAAUACGAAGUGGGCUAGCGUUGCUCGGAAUGACUGGGCGUAAAGGGCGCGUAGGCGGCGGCCAAAGUCAGGCGUGAAAUUCCCGGGCUCAACCUGGGGGCUGCGUUUGAUACUUGGUUGCUUGAGUGGGGAAGAGGGUCGUGGAAUUCCCAGUGUAGAGGUGAAAUUCGUAGAUAUUCGCAAGAACACCAGUGGCGAAGGCGGCUCACUGGCUCGAAACUGACGCUGAGGCACGAAAGCGUGGGGAGCAAACAGGAUUAGAUACCCCUGUAGUCCCUGUCUCUUAUAC
rnacentral:rRNA from 1 species